GCCCCCGUGGCGGAACGGCAGACGCACGCGGCUCAAACCCGCGGGCCCGCACGGGCGUGCAGGUUCGACUCCUGCCGGGGGUA
rnacentral:tRNA from 1 species